GGCGCCUUAGAGAAGUGGUCAAGGUGUCACCCCCCAAGCGGCAGGUUGAUGGUUCGAAUCCUACUGGCGACG